GGGUAGGUAACUUGCAAAGUUAAAGCAAUGAGUAUUUCUGGUAGAUAGUUGUGACAUCUCAUCUGUGAAUUUUUCUCUAGCAUUCAGUGCUGCUUUGGGCUAUAUACUCAGUAGAGCAUAAGAAAUACUCAAGCCAUCCUCUACCCAGCAAUUGUAGGACCUAGAAAUACCCAUCAACAGGAGAUCAGCGUUUGGGAACUGUUUCCCAUUAUUCUGUUACUUCUAUGCCAGCAUACCUCAGCUGAAGACACUGCAGUCUAAUUAUAAUAUGAAAUAGGAAAACACAGUUAAAAACUUCACUUCCAUAUUUCAGCAGCCCUCAAUAAUUCCAAUGUAUUUAAGCUUUUGAGUGUUAACUGUAUUUCCUAAUUAAAAGCAUGCACACAUUACAGUAAUGUAUAGCAUUAUAAAAUCCUCAAGAAGUGGAACGUUGGUCUUAUGCAGCGAUCAGAUUUACUCUCACCUUUCUCCCUGCCUGUAUGAGCCACUUCGGAAAAGGCUAGUGAUUAGGGGGUACCCACAUGUUCUAAACUGAAGAUCUCAUACUAGAAAUAUGAAGUGUUAGGUAUUAGAAAACCUGGAAAAACCCAUUUACUUUCCUUUUCUUUUUAAGGGGUGGCUCCUUUUAUAUGCGCGGCUAUGAACCAAUACUAGCCAUUUUGCUAUUUUCUUGUGCUUUGGCACUGCAUUCCAGACAGGUGGACUUGAAGCUGCGUCUGGACUACCUCUGGGCUGUGCAGGUAAGCCAUAGGUCUUUCCUUUCUAGUAUCCAUGCACACAAAACAAUGUCUGAUUUUUGAAUUGACCUGCAAAAAAAUAGUUGGACUAAGACACUUUCAAGAUUUUUCAUGUCUGUUGGGCUUUACAGAGAAAAACUAUUCUAUAUUAACUUUCUUUCCAUAGACCUAUAACAUUCACUUGCUCUGGAGAAGUGAAUUUGUUUGUAGUUGUUCCGUAACGCUGUAUCAUUAAUGAAGUAAUAUAUUUAUAUCUAAGGUAUAUUAUGAAUAGAGAUAAUUUCAAACAUGGGAAAUUGACUGUUAGCAAUAUACAUUUCAGUUAAAGAAAUUAAAUCCAUGGAUCUUUUUCAUCUUAUAAUACAAAAAGGGUGAAAAUAAACUGAUGUUCAGGUAAACUGAAAAGAAGCAAACAAAACCAAUAAAAGGAAAUACCCACAUCAUUCAGUGAAACUGUGGAAAGGCAGGUCAGAAACUUAUUUAGAUACCAAGUUCAUGUACUUUUUUAAAAACUUCUAUUUCCUAACUAUCAUAAUCACAGCAAAACCAAUAGAAAUUAUAUUAGCCAUAAGCAGGGGCAUCAAGAAAUGUCUACCUCCUGUCAUGCCUUUCAGCAGUCCUAUUCCCACCUCUGAAGUGUUUCACACUAGCCCCUGAGGGAAGGAGAAAGUUGAAGAUGUAAGUUUGUUUUCAUGGAAUUUGGAAGUUGCUUUUAUGAUAAAUCUUACACUCUUGUAGUGCACAGAGGUCGCAGCCUGUUUUCACCUACACCCUGUUAACUGUGUUGUUAAGAGGACCGUAUAAAUCAUCACAGUGCUUGCUUUUACGUGUAAGAUCAAGACUGGAAUGUAUGGGUUAAACACAUCCCUGGCUGUAUGUUACCUAAAAUGGAGCCAUCAGGAAUGGCUUAGCUCUAUUAUCUUCUGCAUAUCAGUUAAGCGCUGAUGGCAUUAUUUUGUUUAUCUUGAUGUCCAAGACCAUGUCCACCUCCUUCAUGAUUUAAGUUUAUCUUGUUCUGUAAUUUCUGUGGACUCUUUGCUGUUUAACUGAGUCAACAACGUGUGAUCAUUUAGGUUUUGUCCUGUAACCUGCAGUAUUGAGAGGUGCCUGGCAGCUUCAGAAGGUUGCUUUGGACAAACCGAUAAGUAGUUUCCACUUGCUGUGGUACCAAAUACAAUUUUCAGGUGGAAAAAAAGAAAUCCCUUGGCUUUGAAACUCUGUGUAGCACGUGACUGCAGCUAUCUCUAUAUAGGUUGGCACAUAGAGGGGGUAUAUGAGUACCAUAUGAUCCAUGAAUACAAGACCUUCUGUAUGUUAUUCCUAUCCACAAAAUAGAGUAGGAAGGAGGAAGAUACUGGUUUGCUAUCCUGUGGCCUUUCAACAGGUCAAGACUGAGUUUAAGUAUCUUAGUUGCUUUUCAUAAUACAAGCUACUAUGACUUGCAUGGUGAAUUGUGUGUCCCUAAGGAAUGUACUGCUUAAAGAUUCUUAGUUCUAAGUUUGCUUUUAAUUAGCAAUCAAUUAGUUUUAAAAAUUCAAGUACAGGAAACUGGUGGGAUGCUUGCCUGUUGAAAGACCAGAGCUGAACAAUAGUAAAGGAAGAAAUCCAAACUUGUUCUCCUUUCCUGGCGCCGGGUUUUUCAGAAACACCUACUUGUCUACCACCAUUGUUAAAACCAUUGUGCACUUAUUCCAAAGGCAGUAAGGGGAGUUAAGACAUAUGGGUGCCUAUCAAAUUUCAGUAAUGUCCAGUGGCAUCUUCAGGUACCAUUUCAAAAAGUACUUUUUAUCUGAGAAGAUCAAAUGCCAUUUUCAGAUCUUUUCAGUUGCAAAUCAGGUACUUAUGUGGUACCAUCUUGUCUGUGAGAUUUGCAUGAUAAUAAUCAGAAAGGCAAAAAAAAAAAUCAGUGUAGGUAGAAAAUUCAGAAAUUAGGUCUCAACAUAACUACCAUUCUUUGAAAUCAGUAGGCGGGGUAGAUAUUUGGCCUCUUUGAUGAUCUGGGUAUAUACACUAGUUCUCAAUUCCACAUGGAAGGUCUGUGCCCUGUACAAUAAAUGAUAGUGGAUAACAUGUUGUAAGGAAUCUUGUCCUGCGUAUUGAUUGUAAAUGAUAAUGAAUACAAAGGUUAAAUAACAUAACAUGCAGAAGUACUGUCAUGAAUGUUACACAAGUGCUUUUGGUGCUUAGUUACUCAAAUGGAUAAGAAAAAAAAACAAAACAAAACAUUAUCUUUGCACUCACUAGGCUCUUCGGCAUAGUAAAAAUAUGAGUAUUAAAAGCUCUGGGAAGACUUGGAAAUAUCUAUAUGUUAAAACUGCCUUUGGAUAGUUAUCAAACUCCAAGCAACUAAUUGUUUAACAAUCCUUAAAUGGAGACAAGAGUAAAAAACACUUUCCUGAGUGAUAGUUUUCUCUAGCUGCUGGACUGCAGCCCUUUAUAUGGUUAAACAGCAUUCUUGGUCCCAUUUCUGUUCAGCCAUAGCACUACUUACUGUUGAACCAGUGUUGGCUUAACUUGAUUCCAUUCUCUGUAGCAGCGGUUUUAGAAAGACCACUGACUUUACACAGGAACUGUGGAGAUUUUCUUCUGGUUUACAGUGAGUGUGCUGGUUCUUUCUGCAAACGCCGAAUUGCAUGAACCGCUGCUAGAGCUGAGACUCAUCUCCCAGUAGCCAGACACUGCUCUGUGAAGACGUGCCAACAUGGUACAACAUAUGUUUUUAGGAAGCUUCCCAGUUGUUGGCUUACAAUUGAGAGAAUUUCAGACUCAGGGGCUUUUCUGGAAGAUGUAAGCACUUACUCUGCAUACUUUUAGUAAGGCUCAUUAUUGGGGCUAAUCCUGUAAAAGCGUUCUGAGAUAAAUAAAACCAUUUGUGGCAUAAGCUGCAAUAAAAAGGAUUUUAUAGGUAUUUUCAUUCGCUUUGUCAUAAACAACAAACUGUCUAGUACUAACUAAAUGGUAUUUUAACCACUGAAAGUAUCCUGCAAUUGAUACCAUUACUAGUAAGAAUAUAUAGAUAGAUGCUCAGUGGUCUACGCUAGGGUCUGAGAAAAACCCGUUUCCAUGGAUUUUUUCUGCCAUAUUGGGAAAAAAAAAUGUGCUGUGAGGAAAAGCAGAUUUCAAAGAAGAAAAACUGGUUUAGAAGAAUGAUACAGUUUCAAGUUAAUCUAAUUUUCAUGCACCUAGGUUAUGGAACCAGAACAGAUAUGAUGCAGUGUCAUUUAUGUACACUGCGUGGAAAAAAUACAUUUUUCUGAUUGGUGAGAAGUGGUUAAAACACUUAUGUUUGUGCUGUUAUAGGUGUUAUCACUGAUGUCAUAGGUUCUUGUUGAUUUUGCUAGGGGGUUUUGCUGUGCCGAAUUUAACCUUUCUGAAUAUCAAAGGUAAUUCCAGAAAAUCUCUCUUGGUGUGUUUGGCUUUUAUCAGGCAGUGAGAGGAGAAUUUCAUUUUCUACGUAACACUGUAGAGUAACUCUGUGUGCCUCAUAUGACAAUAACUGUGAAUAGCAAAUGUAGGAGUGUUUUACUUAUUUGUGACUAAUAAUCGCUUUUGCAAAUUAUUGCACAAAACUGGAAAAGAAGAAUGGACACAUAAAUAUGAACAAUGAAUUUCUGAAGAAGUGAAAACUGCUCAAAAAAUGGAGCUGCUUAUUCACCCAGGAUUUUGUAAGGGAACAAAAAUAAUACAACGAAUGACUGAUUGUUGCAUUCCUAAUCCAUGACACAUGUAAAAAAUAUGUAUUUUACAGUCGGCAGGCAAGCCUUGCCAGAUGGGCUUGCACAUCCUCUUAAAUUUCUCUGGUAAUAUAUUAAAUAAUAUAUUAAAAAUCUAUAA
rnacentral:lncRNA from 1 species